rnacentral:lncRNA from 1 species
GCAACAGUGGAUGUUCAAAUACUGCAGCUGUGACAUCAUCAGUGACCCAUUUUCCUAAAUGCUGAACAACUGCUGUGUUCAGAUUUAUCUUCCUUUAGUCAUUGCAGAACCGUGAACUUUCUCUCCAAGCAGGUGAAGCCACCACUCCAGAUUCUAUUAAGAGAACAGUUCAUGGAGACUGUGGCCAGGCAGAGCAGCAUCUUAGGAAGAGCAGGCAUCUCUGUCCACAGAGUCUGCCCAGAAUGACUUCCUAGUUCCCAGUGCUCAUGGAUUCUACAAAAACAUCGUUAUUUAGCUGGUGGAAAAAUAAAAGCUACAACUUCAAAAUAGGUCUGAAGAAAUGCCG